UUGGAUUCUUGGCACUUCUGGAAGAAAAAAAAGAACUUGAGAAGAUUAAGUAUUGCAGACCACAGCUAGGAGGACAAUCAAGGAGGAAAGGUGGGAAACGACGGUGUGAGGGACUCAUGGAGGAAACAGAUACCAACUUUUACUGGGCCAACUGCACUGGAGUUGAGGACUUUAAGACCUGCCUGGAUGUGAUUACUUCAGAGUGGACUGGAAGGAGUAUGGGUACAUGGGCUCCAAAUGUAACCACCUUUGGAACACUCUAGCUUUGAUUUUAGUAACUAUUCUUCCUGCAGUAGCACUGGUUAUCAUAGUUAUUGUAAUAUUUUACUGUGUCUACUAUUGUAAAAGUGAAAAAGCUGGAUAAGUUACUCUGGAUGUAGUUAAAAGGGUUUUUAUAAUCAAAAUGGAAGUAAAGCAAAAGAAGUCUGUUACUCUGAUUAAUUUUUAACCUCUGGAUAUUUAAAUCAACAAGCUUGCCAUAUAGCGUCCUCUGCCAAAAUACUGUUUACACAAUUUUACACAAUUUAAAUCAAAGCAUCUUACCAGGGCACUUAACCAUUAUUCAGCAUUUUACCACUGCAUGCAGAACUUCACUCUAAGUCAUUGCUUCUCUUCUUUAGGGCUA